UAAGUCGUAAGCCUUGGUACAACAGGACUCAUCCCCUCAGUUUUCUCAAAAUCAAUUUUGGGACAAAAUCUCAAAUUGAGUUUGCCAAAAUUUCUCAAGUCUGCUCCCUCUUCCCCAAGACUCAAAAGGAGCUAUGUAUGAAAAGUAUGGGAGAUUUAGAAGGAAAAGAUUCUGGCGGCAAGAAUUUUGCUUCCCUCCUCCCAAUUCUAAAAAAUAUAGUUUUCCUUCCUUAGUUAGAAUUCUACAAAAAAACCUAAUAUUUUGCAUUCCACUGUACCUUAAUAGAUACUUGGAGACGAAAAUCGCUGAGGCUUUUGCUGCUGAGAUCCACAAAGCUUGUUUUCUACAAAUUCAAGGAACUAUGGUUUUUUAGCAACUUUGUUGUGAUGGCAAGAAAAAGAGAAAGAAAUUCUAGUCAAGAAAUGCUUCUGCCUGAUUUUUUGGAGCAACAAGAAGAACAAAUGGGCGGUGCGGCGAUGCCUUAACCACCUCAAAACUGGCCACAAAAUGAAGGACAAGCUAUCCGAUCUGGUAAAUCAAGAAAUGAUUCACAUGAAACAGAAAAUUUCCUAGACUCUAGUGCUAAUGAAGAGCAAUCUAAGCGACCUAGGGGUCCUACUAUGAUGCACUCAGGAUGGGAAAAAGAUGGUGUCAUUUUACAUGUUGUGUUGAAUAAUCUUAGUCAAGCUAUUGGACCUGAUGCAGCUAGAUUGAGUUCAAAACUUGGAGUCAUAGCAAGAAAUGGCAUUUUAGCUCCUUUAAAUCAUAAAGAUUGGAGGAAAAUACUGAUGUAACUGAGGAUAUGAGACGUAUGUUGAUGAUAUCGGUUGGAUGUAAAUGGAAAGAAUGGAAGCAUGAAGCAAAAAUGAUUGGUUAUGAGCCAUACAACAACGAUAUCGAGCGCUUAGCUAAAUGUCCAGACAAGGUAGAAGAAGACCAGUGGCGUGCAUUAGUUCAUUAUUGGAGCUCUAAUGAAGCAAAGGAAAAUAGCGAGAGGAACAAAGAAAGUCGAAGGAAGUUGAGUAUGCCACACACAUCAGGAAGAAAAAGUCAUUCUCAAAGUAUCGAUGAUAUGACAAAGAAGAAUGGUGUAAAAUCAAGUCGUAUCGAAGUAUUCAUAGAAACACAUACGAGAAAGAGUAAACAACCAAUUAAUGAGAUAGCUGAUAAAACUAUGAAAGAAAUGGAUGAACUUGCUAAGGUGUAUCCUGAGUUAAAUGUCCCUGGAAGUGCUCCCAAUGAUGUGUAUGCACAGGUUAUGGGACCAGACACUCAUGGAAAUGUUCGAACAUUAGGAAAAUGAGCAGCUCCAAGUUUUGUUUAUGGCCCUGCAUAUAAGCGAUCCCAAGCUGAGCAAAGAGAUUUUGAAAGAAGGGUUGAGAUAGAAGUUGAAAAAGCUACCUCCGCUAUGAGAAUUGCGAUGGAAGAAAAAUUGGCUGAAGCAAAAGAAGAAAUAGAAAAGACAGAGAAAAAGUUAUUUGAAGCAAAAGAAGAAAUAAAAGCACUGGGAGAAAAAUGUUAGAAGCCACAAAGGAUAUAGAUGCAAAAAUAGACGAUAAAGUAAAGCUGAGUAUAAAGGCAUAUCUAGAAUCUUUGGGUAUUACUAUUGGCUCAAAUAGAAAAUUAUGUGGUGAUGAGCAGGUUUCUGAUAACUCAAUGGACGAUCACCAACAAUCACUAUCACCUGUUUCACUCUUUCACACAAAGAUGGUGAGUUCGUAAACUCAUUUAAACUAUAUAUUUUUCUGCAUACUUUGAAGAGUAUAGUUUUAACUAUGUCAAUUUUUGCUUCAGUUACGUAAAGCUUCAAAAUAGCAUUUUAAAGUAUAGAGGCUAUUUUCUAGUAAAAACGAUUAUGAGUAUUUCUAAUUGAGAGUGAAACUUUUUGUGAAGAGUUGAUCAAGAUUCACAAAGUGUACAAUAAUAAAUCAGCAGCUGAGCCAAUGAGCAAUAGUAAUGGUUGAAAUUUAGUUUUUAGUGUUCUACAAACAAUAGUUAGAAUGAUUUUUUUAGCAAUAAGUACUAUUGGGUUGAUUGAAUAUUGAAGUAUAUCGAACUGAUGAAUCACAAUUGAGGAGUCUGUGUGGAGAGUUGCUGAGAAAUAAUCUGUAUUUUUGUCCUAGUUAUUGUAAUCUGGAAUUAAACUGAGUCUUACUAUAUUGUCCAGUCCAAUAUCAAAUUAAAAGAAGAGAUCUUCAUGCUUUAUCAGCCAGUAUUCUUCUUCUUAUCCAAAAAGUAAUUGUACAGAUCGCCAAGAUCACUUCGUCAGUUACACUAAUUUCUGUUAUCAAGGGGGAUCAUAGGGGCAUGUGUUUCUUGUCAUCAAUUGUUGCCCUCUUUCUUUGCAGAGUCAAGGGUUUCACAAGCAACUAAAUCUUAAGAUCUUUCCUCGCCUUUUCCAGUUUUUGGUAGUGAAAUUUUGGCGGUAGGUGUUGACAUACUUCCUGAUAUCAUCUUCCAUGAAAAGGUUGAAAAGCUUUCUCAUCUUUGAUGCAUAUUCUUAUGAAAAAGCAUCGCAACUCUUAAGGCUCUUCUGCAGCUUACACUUAAGGAUGAAGUUCCAUUUUUUAAACUUGUGUUUGACAAUGAUAGUGGUAUUCUUGUUGUAGCUGUGAAGAAGUUAGCUUCUUUUUUUCUUUUUGUUAAUUGAUAAGAUUCCCAUCAAGCAUGAUUUUACCCUCCUACACAAGAUAUUUAGCCUUUUGUAGAACCUGGAAGAAAGAGUAAGUUGAAGACUCUUACCUAGAUGAGGGAAAUAAAGAUCUAUGAUUGA